GAUGAACGCUGGCGGCGUGCCUAAUACAUGCAAGUCGAGCGAACAGAUGAUGAGCUUGCUCCUCUGACGUUAGCGGCUGACGGGUGAGUAACACGUGGAUAACCUACCUAUAAGACUGGGAUAACUUCGGGAAACCGGAGCUAAUACCGGAUAAUAUAUUGAACCGCAUGGUUCAAUAGUGAAAGACGGUUUUGCUGUCACUUAUAGAUGGAUCCGCGCCGCAUUAGCUAGUUGGUAAGGUAACGGCUUACCAAGGCAACGAUGCGUAGCCGACCUGAGAGGGUGAUCGGCCACACUGGAACUGAGACACGGUCCAGACUCCUACGGGAGGCAGCAGUAGGGAAUCUUCCGCAAUGGGCGAAAGCCUGACGGAGCAACGCCGCGUGAGUGAUGAAGGUCUUCGGAUCGUAAAACUCUGUUAUUAGGGAAGAACAAAUGUGUAAGUAACUAUGCACGUCUUGACGGUACCUAAUCAGAAAGCCACGGCUAACUACGUG
rnacentral:rRNA from 1 species